rnacentral:rRNA from 1 species
UACGUAGGGUCCAAGCGUUAAUCGGAAUUACUGGGCGUAAAGGGUUUGUAGGUGGCUUGUUAAGUCAGACGUGAAAUCCCUCAGCUUAACUGGGGAACUGCGUCUGAUACUGGCGAGCUUGAGUGCAGGAGAGGAACGCGGAAUUCCAGGUGUAGCGGUGAAAUGCGUAGAUAUCUGGAGGAACACCGGUGGCGAAGGCGGCGUUCUGGACUGCAACUGACACUGAGAAACGAAAGCCAGGGUAGCAAACGGG